CCGCGGGGCCGCCGCGGCUGCUCCUUUAAGAGGGGGCCGGGCUAGCGGUGACCCCGCGCGAUGUCCGCCCCUUCCUGGUUACCAUGGAGACCGCCCGCCAGCGUCCCAAAAUGGCGGCGGCGGAGCCGCGCGGGGCUGCCGCUCUCUCCGCCGCCCAGGAAGGAAGGAGGGCAGACCAGCAGCCUGAGGCGGCAGCGCCCUUAGCGAGGGCUUGUCCUUGGGGAAGGAGCCCCUCCGCGCCGGGGCAGGACGAGGGGCUCCGUUAACGCCGCCAGGAAGCGGCCCGGGAGGAGCCACCAGCAUGGGCGAAAGUUCGUCUAGACGAGGAGCCUCAAUAUGUGGGAGAUUCCUUCUACGUGGACUUUCCUGAGCCUGUGAGAUGGGGCUCUGGGUGAGGAACCAGAGGAAAGGAGGAAAUAGAAAUGUUUCAAAAUGGUGAGUUAGUAGCCUUGCGAAGUAGUAUAUACACAACGUGAUUUUGUACCCAUAAAACAGACAUAAGUCUACUCUCAGAAAUUACAUAACUCUAGUCUCAGAAAAUGCCUCAUAAAUAAAUGUGAUGCAAAAUUUAAUGCAAAUAAAUAACAAAUCCUUAAGUAUUCCUUCUAAAGAAAAAUAAAUUUAGCUGCCCUUUCGGGGUAAUCAGACUUAAGGCAGAGGGGUAAGCAAUAAUCUAACAUGUCAUUCCAAGAACAUAAAAUUAACAUCUGGGAAUGGGAAGGCUGUAUAUAUUUUCCACAUUGUACCUGAAGAUGUUUGGUGUCCUGCCAUUCACCAGUGUAUAUAACUGGUUUUUCUAACACAGAAAUACUACAUAUAUAAUGCUAAAUAUCCUGGAAGAGUUUUUUUAACCUUUGCUUUAAAAAAUCCCACAAAAUGUGUGAUAUGAGUAUUUUUUAGAGUAAUCUAGUAGAAUCAUCAAUGAGAAAUGUUGGACAGUAAACAAGCAAAAUUUAACAAAUAUGAUUAUGAGUUGAUAAGAUUAUGAAAUAAAAAUGAAAAUAUACUAUAAUCUCUGUUUCAUUUUUACCCAUUUUUUACUUAGUUUACUUACUUUAUUAGUGACAAAUACAAAUGCUUGUCUCAAGCUGGACAUACUGAUUUAGAAGAUGAAAAGUUUGAGAAACCUUUCUGAGAAAGUUUUUUAAAUGUCUCGCCAGAAAAAAAAAAAAAACCACAACAUUUUUAAACUAGAAGGAAGUUUUCAGUUUGUGUUCAUAAAGUAAGCCAAAAUAAUGAACAUAUGUUCUUUCAGGGAAGAACUGCUGCACAAUAACGGGGAAAUGUGCUUUUGAGUAGCUGAAGUCUUGUAGUGGGUCUGUCCCACUGACCCCUAGGAAUCCUACCAGUGCCCUGCUUGUCUGUGGAAUGUGACUGAGUGUUGUGGGGUCUUUGCUAUUCAUUGUCACACUCAGAUAAUAAAAAUAAGAUGGUUGUUAUUAUUAUUAUUAUUUCUGUCUUCAGGUUUUUGGAUCUCAUGUCUGUUUCCUGUCACACACUUCAGGUAUCUAUUCUUGAGUUUGUUUUCAGCUGCCCAAAUAUAUCCUGAAAACAAACCAAAGUCAGUUAACAUAAACCAUGCAAAAAAAGCUUCGUAACCGUCACUGUAAGUUCAAAAUGUUCUGCAAAUGUUCAUUGUACAAAGCAUUACCAGGAACCUGAUGUCAUUAAAAAUCAUUUGGUUAGAGUGUUUGAAAAAUUCAGCUGUGAUUUUAUGGCAAUAAGAUCAUUUGAGUAUUGUGCACUAUGUGGAUGUAUGUAUUUGAAUAUAUCACUGUAUUUUCUGAA